rnacentral:rRNA from 1 species
AUGAUUAAAGGAGAAGAUUGUUCUUUUACCAAACAUAUGCAGAUCAAAUCACGUCUUAUAAUAAGAAGAAAUCUUUCUCGGUAUCAAUCCCCUUGCCCCUCAUUCUUUGAGAAUCAGAAGGAGGCUAACUCAUUCACUGUUGUAUGCAGACACUCAGCAUGCCUUUAUCUUGACGCCUCUACAUGUGUGAUCCCGGGGGUGACUGACUCAAUAACAUUACAAGCUCUUGCAUAUCGAGAAGUUGUAGCUUUGGCUAAUGAUCUCUCUCUGCAACAUCUGUAA